rnacentral:sRNA from 1 species
AACCCUCGAUGUUCUUCCGCUCUGUGCUCUGUGCUCGUGUAGUUUCUAACAAUUCUUUCAUGUAGCUCUUAACAUUCUUCCAUUUCAUGCUCUGCACUCAUAUAGUCUCUAACAAUUCUUCUGUGUAGCUUCUAAUGUUCUUCUGCUCUGUGUUCUGCACUCAUGUAGUCUCUAACAAUUCUUCCACAUAGCCCUCAAUGAUUCCCCUGCUCCAUGCUCCAUGCUUGUGUAGUCUCUAACAAUUCUUAUGUGUAUCUCUUAAUGUUCUUUCACUCCAUGCUCCACUGUGGAGCAGCUUCUGAUAUUCUUCCACUCUGAACUUUCCUCUAUAAGAACCCCCUUCAUACAACCUUUUCUUCUGAUUUCUUUUCUCUUUCUUUUCUUAAUCAAUUCAUAAUCUGUAAUUAGGAUAGUAUCAAAUCAUUAAUCAA